ensembl:lncRNA novel transcript
AGCCCACCAGCCUCCAAACAGUUCUGCGAAAAAUUAGGCUAUCUUUCAUUAGCUAUCUAUCAUGCGGCCUCCACCAGGCUGCAGGAUAUGAGGGCCAUUUAAUUAGGCCCUGCACCACUCUCGGGUGUGAAAAGGCUCUCAAACGCUUUGAUUCCCCGCUGCUUCGCAGCAGGAAGUUGUUGGCGAUAAUUGACAUAGGAUUUCCUUGUUAACCAGCAGCAGACACGCCGGAUUAAAGCGACAGAGAUCUCGAGAAGAAAGUGAAAGAGAUAAGAAGCUCGGAAGACUUCUGCUUAUUUGGCACUUGAGGAUGGCAGGAAACAGCAAUAACCUACUCAAGUGGCGACUCUAGAGUGGAAGGGCGUCCCCUUAUCAGACCUAUUUCAGCUUGGCUGAUCAAAGAUUGACUCCCCGCAAAAUCACAUAGGCCUGGGGUUUGUUAGUUUAUUAAGCAGCAGGUUUUAGGAAUUAUCACAGGUUUAAAGAUGGAUUGCAGUUUAUGUGAAGGGGGAGAGGAUUAUCGGGUUUUCAUCUUAACAAUUAUAAAAUAUCACAGCUGAAAGCUUGCUUGCAAAUGACAUAAUUUUCCACUGCCAACUAAACAGGUCAUUGUGAGGCUGCCUGUGAGCGCACUCAACGAGGGAGGAAAUACAGGCAAAUUAACUCUGGGGAGGACCGGGGAUGAGGGGCCUCCACGCCUUGUUCCACUUCGGAAGACGGUGCGAUCUCAUUUUGCCCUGUGCGAUUCCUUAGGUAUAACAUCCAAUUGCUCCUGUUGGAAGGGACACUCUGCAUGUAAAUGGCAGAGACACUCUGGUUCACUCAAAUGUAUUGUUCCUGAAAGAAAGGAAGUGGUCUGCAGAGGUAAAGUUGGAAAAUGGUUGUUUACCUGUCAGCACCAGAGUCUAAAACUUACUACAUUGAAAUCACACCAAGCAUGAACAUAGGGUACCAUGUGCCAGAAAUUAGCCUGUUUCUGAUGGGGAAAAAUAAACUGGCAUGAAAUUUAUUUUUCCUAAA